rnacentral:rRNA from 1 species
UACGGAGGGGGGCUAGCGUUGUUCGGAAUUACUGGGCGUAAAGCGCACGUAGGCGGCUUUGUAAGUUAGAGGUGAAAGCCCGGGGGCUCAACUCCGGAAUUGCCUUUAAGACUGCAUCGCUAGAAUUGUGGAGAGGUAAGUGGAAUUCCGAGUGUAGAGGUGUAAAUUCGUAGAUAUUCGGAAGAACACCAGUGGCGAAGGCGACUUACUG